UUGGAGGGCAAGUCUGGUGCCAGCAGCCGCGGUAAUUCCAGCUCCAAUAGCGUAUAUUAAAGUUGUUGUAGUUAAAAAGCUCGUAGUUGAAUUUCGGGAUCAAGGAAUCGGUCAUGCCUUGGUAUGUACUGGUUUUAUUGGUUCUCACCUUCUAAAGAACCAUAAUGUCAUUUAUUUGAUGUUAUGGGGAAUUAGGACUGUUACCUUGAAAAAAUUAGAGUGUUUAAAGCAAGCUUACGCUUGAAUACAUUAGCAUGGAAUAAUGAAAUAGGACAUCCGAUUCUAUUUUGUUGGUUUCUAGGAUCGAUGUAAUGAUUAAUAGGGAUAGUUGGGGGCAUUAGUAUUCAAUUGUCAGAGGUGAAAUUCUUGGAUUUAUUGAAGACUAACUACUGCGAAAGCAUUUGCCAAGGAUGUUUUCAUUAAUCAAGAACGAAAGUUAGGGGAUCGAAGACGAUCAGAUACCGUCGUAGUCUUAACCAUAAACUAUGCCGACUAGGGAUCGGAUGAUGUUUAUUUUUUAGUGACUCAUUCGGCGCCUUACGGGAAAC
rnacentral:rRNA from 1 species